AAAAGACUUAGUCCUAACCUUACCGUUAAUUUUUGCUAAGUAUAUACAUGCAAGUAUCCGCGCCCCAGUGUAAAUGCCCCUGUCACCUUUAUCAAGAUGAAGGGGGCUGGUAUCAGGCACACGUUCAACCGUAGCCCAAGACGCCUUGCUCAGCCACACCCCCACGGGUACUCAGCAGUAAUUAACAUUAAGCAAUAAGUGCAAACUUGACUUAGCUAUAGCAGUUCCUACAUAGGGCCGGUAAAUCUUGUGCCAGCCACCGCGGUCACACAAGAGGCUCAAAUUAACNNGUCCGCGGCGUAAAGAGUGGUACAAUGUUAACNGCACAAACUAAGACCAAAAUACAACUAAGCUGUCAUAAGCCCAAGAUGUACCUAAGCCUCCCAUCAAAAUGGCCUUAGCACCUUCGUUCUAUUUAAACCCACUAAAGCUAGGGCCCAAACUGGGAUUAGAUACCCCACUAUGCCUAGCCCUAAAUCCAGGUGUUUACCCUACCCUAACACCCGCCAGAGAACUACGAGCACAAACGCUUAAAACUCUAAGGACUUGGCGGUGCCCCAAACCCACCUAGAGGAGCCUGUUCUAUAAUCGAUAACCCACGAUACACCCAACCCUCCCUAGCAAGGACAGCCUACAUACCGCCGUCGCCAGCCUACCUCAUCUGAGAGCACUACAGUGGGCAAAAUAGCCUACCUCGCUAAUAAGACAGGUCAAGGUAUAGCCCAUGAGAGGGAAGAAAUGGGCUACAUUUUCUAGCAAUAGAACACAUACGGAACAGGGGCAUGAAACUGCCCCCAGAAGGUGGAUUUAGCAGUAAAGAGGGACAAUAUAAGCCCCCUUAAAGAUGGCUCUGGGGCACGUACAUACCGCCC
rnacentral:ncRNA from 1 species